UACGAAGGGGGCUAGCGUUGCUCGGAAUCACUGGGCGUAAAGGGUGCGUAGGCGGGUCUUUUAAGUCAGGGGUGAAAUCCUGGAGCUCAACUCCAGAACUGCCUUUGAUACUGAAGAUCUUGAGUUCGGGAGAGGUGAGUGGAACUGCGAGUGUAGAGGUAAAAUUCGUAGAUAUUCGCAAGAACACCAGUGGCGAAGGCGGCUCACUGGCCCGAUACUGACGCUGAGGCGCGAAAGCUAGGGGAGCAAACAGGG
rnacentral:rRNA from 1 species